rnacentral:rRNA from 1 species
AUUGAACGCUGGCGGCGUGCUUAACACAUGCAAGUCGAUCGGUAACGCGGGGGCAACCCUGGCGACGAGAGGCGGACGGGUGAGGAACGCUUGGGAAUCUGCCUAUCAGCGGGGGACAACACGGGGAAACUCGUGCUAAUACCGCAUACGCUCUACGGAGGAAAGCCGGGGACCGCAAGGCCUGGCACUGAUAGAUGAGCCCAAGCCGGAUUAGCUAGUUGGCGGGGUAACGGCCCACCAAGGCGACGAUCCGUAGCUGGUCUGAGAGGACGAUCAGCCACACUGGAACUGAGACACGGUCCAGACGCCUACGGGAGGCAGCAGUGGGGAAUAUUGGACAAUGGGGGAAACUCUGAUCCAGCGACGCCGCGUGGGUGAAGAAGGCCUGCGGGUUGUAAAGCCCUUUCGGUAGGGACGAAAGCUCUCGGCCUAACACGUCGGGAGGUUGACUUAACCUACAAAAGAAGCACCGGCUAACUCUGUGCCAGCCGCCGCGGUAACAC